UUAAAAGUAACACAAUGCACCUUUAACAUAUACACCGUUCGAUUCGCCUUGUGAAAAUGACUACAUUUCCCAUAAUGCCCCUAGUGCACUAAAGGACACGGUGGUCACAAUAAUCAAACUGCCGGUGUAACAUGAUGGACUACGUGAGAUCUUUGUUUUGCCUUGUGGAGCUGUAUAUAAUAAAGCGAGACAUUACUAACUGAGAACAGCAGAGACAGAGGCAUGAGGGGAUCAAAGCACAUAAUGAAGAGGACUGGACAUGCUUUACGAGUCCAUAAACAAAAUAUCUCGGUCCUCACCCGGGCACUGCCAUAACGAUUUACGAUUCAGAGUGGAAGCAUCUCUCAGGAAUGCAACUUUAAGGACUACGA